rnacentral:rRNA from 1 species
UACGUAGGGGGCAAGCGUUGUCCGGAAUUAUUGGGCGUAAAGCGCGCGCAGGCGGUUCUUUAAGUCUGGUGUCUAAGUGCGGGGCUCAACCCCGUGAUGCACUGGAAACUGGGGAACUUGAGUGCAGAAGAGGAGAGCGGAAUUCCACGUGUAGCGGUGAAAUGCGUAGAGAUGUGGAGGAACACCAGUGGCGAAGGCGGCUCUCUGGACUGUAACUGACGCUGAGCGCGAAAGCGUG